rnacentral:rRNA from 1 species
AAUUUUGGACAAUGGGGGAAACCCUGAUCCAGCCAUCCCGCGGGUAUGAUGAAGGCCUUCGGGUUGUAAAGUACUUUUGGCAGAGAAGAAAAGGCAUCCCCUAAUACGGGAUGCUGCUGACGGUAUCUGCAGAAUCAGCACCGGCUAACUAUGCGCCAGGCGCCGCGGUAAUACGUAGGGUGCACGCGUUAAUCGGAAUUAGUGGGCGUAAAGCGUGUGGAGGCGGUUCGGAAAGAAAGAUGUGAAAUCCCAGGGCUCAACCUUGGAACUGCAUUUUUAACUGCCGAGCUAGAGUAUGUCAGAGGGGGGUAGAAGUCCACGUGUAGCAGUGAAAUGCGUAGAUAUGUGGAGGAAUACCGAUGGCGAAGGCAGCCCCCCGGGGAUAAUACUGACGCUCAGACACGAAAGCGUGGGGAGCAAACAGG